GCAUCUGUAGCCUAGUUGGUAAAGGCAGCACUCUAGUAUGUGUCUCAGCAUAGCUGAGGUUGUGAGUUCGACUCUCACCAGACACA
rfam:Puccinia triticina 1-1 BBBD Race 1 supercont2.49, whole genome shotgun sequence.